UUCUCGGGGUUCCCUUUCAUUUUGCGGCCACAACACUUGCAGACAAACAGUCCUCUGAGUGCACGCACACACGCACGCGCACACACACACACACACACACGGUCUCUCUCACACACGCGCCUCGCAGGAAGUACAGGCGGGAGGAAAUGACUCGUGAGGCCUCCUCAUUCUGCUGCCCGAGUGCUGCCCUCCCCCUCCUGCUCACACACCGUCCCAGCGCCUGCUGCCAUGAGGGUCCAAGUCUCCGUAUUCUUGUUCCUGGUCCUGGACCCAGUCCUGGUUCUGAAUCAGCAAGCUCCCACAGAUAACUCCCUGAAGGCGACGCCUUUGCUGGCUAAGACAAUCCUUGAGGAUAAGCAGGGGGAUGGAGACCAAGAUGCAGAGGUGGAAAACACAUCUAGCACAGCCACCACAGGGUCUGGAGGCUCCAGUUCCAGCAGCACGAGCACAACUGUUUCAGCCACCACAGGGUCUGGAGGCUCCAGUUCCGGCAGCACGAGCACAACCGCUUCAGGCUCCAAGAGGCCUGUUACCCACAGAGAGCCCGGGAGCUCGGCCAGAUCAGGAGCCGGCCAAAGCCAAGAGGAAAUCUUCACUUACGAUUACCACUCCCUGCGCAAGUGGGGCCUGAUAGCCGCCGCCAUUCUCUUCGUCCUGGGCAUCCUCAUCCUCACCUGUGGUAAAUACGGGAAGCUCCCCGGAUGUGGGGGCCGGAAGCGGAGGAGCGCCUAUGACAUCUCACGGCUCUGAGGCACCCCCUGCUGGGGGAUCCGUUUGGGGAUCGGACACUGCUUGGAGGGGCCGGCUCGGAGCCCCACAGCGAUGCUGCAUACCUGGGGGCUGGGCAGAACCAGCAGCACAGACCCGAGGGCUGCCAAGUGUCCCCCGCUCCCCCCUCUGUGAUCUGCCUGUCAGCAGCACCCCAGCUCUGAUCACCCCGGCCUGGCCUCUCUAGCCCCCGGCUGACUCCCCAGCCUGUCCCCCAGGCCUGGAUCCUCCAUCCCUCUCCUUUCCCCCUCCCAGCCUUGUCCCCCCAUCCCUGUCCCCUCCCCCUUCCUGGCCUGGAUUCCCCAUCCUUGUCCCCCCCUUCAGGCCUUAUCCCCCCUAAAUCCGAGUCCCCAGCCUGCACCUGGCCUGUCUUCCCCAUCCCUGUCCACCCUCCCAGUCUCUGAGCGCCGGUCG
rnacentral:lncRNA from 1 species